rnacentral:rRNA from 1 species
UACGAAGGGGGCUAGCGUUGUUCGGAAUUACUGGGCGUAAAGGGCUCGUAGGCGGCCAACUAAGUCGGACGUGAAAUCCCUCAGCUUAACUGGGGAACUGCGUCCGAUACUGGAUGGCAUGGAUUUGGGAGAGGGAUGCGGAAUUCCAGGUGUAGCGGUGAAAUGCGUAGAUAUCUGGAGGAACACCGGUGGCGAAGGCGGCAUCCUGGACCAAUAUUGACGCUGAGGAGCGAAAGCCAGGGGAGCAAACGGG